CAUCUUACAGAUGAAGAAGAUGAGGAGAAGGGAGAUUAAUUCCCUUGCCCAAGUUCAUACAUCUAUUCAGUGGACAAGCAGGGACUGGAACCCUGGUCCAUCUGCCUCAAAAGCCUGUGUUCCUACCCUCAUAUUACACUAGAAAAGGAAGGGGUGAUGCAGAAUGGAGUGUGUUUCCACCCUUUUUAAAUAGCUUGGACUCCCAAUUUGAUGUGACUAACUGAGCCUAUGACUGAAAGCACAGAGAGAAAAGAGAAACCAAAAAAGAAACUGGUCCAGACAAUAAUACAUUUCCUCCCAAAGUGUCUCCAGCCCUGGUUCAAACAAUGAGAAGCCUUAAUCUCAAUACUUCAGUAUUGAAGAACAAUGGGAACUUAUUAAAACUGGUUAUGUAUAAAGCCUGACUUCUUAAAAGAAGUUAUCAAGACUAAGAAUUUUUU